UACGGAGGGUGCGAGCGUUACCCGGAUUUACUGGGUGUAAAGGGCGUGUAGGCGGUUAUUCAAGUCCGAUGCUAAAGACUGAGGCUCAACCUCAGGAGUGCGUUGGAUACUGGAUGACUAGACGGUCGGAGAGGGUAGCGGAAUUUCCUGAGUAGCGGUGAAAUGCGCAGAUACAGGAAGGAACGCCAAUAGCGAAAGCAGCUACCUGGACGAUUUGUGACGCUGAGGCGCGAAAGCGUGGGGAGCAAACCGG
rnacentral:rRNA from 1 species